AUGAACGCUGGCGGCGUGCCUAAUACAUGCAAGUCGAGCGAACAGACGAGGAGCUUGCUCCUCUGACGUUAGCGGCGGACGGGUGAGUAACACGUGGAUAACCUACCUAUAAGACUGGGAUAACUUCGGGAAACCGGAGCUAAUACCGGAUAAUAUAUUGAACCGCAUGGUUCAAUAGUGAAAGACGGUUUUGCUGUCACUUAUAGAUGGAUCCGCGCCGCAUUAGCUAGUUGGUAAGGUAACGGCUUACCAAGGCAACGAUGCGUAGCCGACCUGAGAGGGUGAUCGGCCACACUGGAACUGAGACACGGUCCAGACUCCUACGGGAGGCAGCAGUAGAGAAUCUUCCGCAAUGGGCGAAAGCCUGACGGAGCAACGCCGCGUGAGUGAUGAAGGUCUUCGGAUCGUAAAACUCUGUUAUUAGGGAAGAACAAAUGUGUAAGUAACUAUGCACGUCUUGACGGUACCUAAUCAGAAAGCCACGGCUAACUACGUG
rnacentral:rRNA from 1 species